CGAAUCGAUAAAGCUUGCUUCUGUUGAUUAGCGGCGGACUGGUGAGUAACACGUGGGCAACUGCCUGUAAGACUGGGAUAACACCGGGAAACCGGUGCUAAUACCGGAUAAUCCUUUUCCUCUGAUGAGGAAAAGCUGAAAGUCGGUUUCGGCUGACACUUACGGAUGGGCCCGCGGCGCAUUAGCUAGUUGGUGAGGUAACGGCUCACCAAGGCGACGAUGCGUAGCCGACCUGAGAGGGUGAUCGGCCACACUGGGACUGAGACACGGCCCAGACUCCUACGGGAGGCAGCAGUAGGGAAUCUUCCACAAUGGACGAAAGUCUGAUGGAGCAACGCCGCGUGAGCGAUGAAGGUCUUCGGGUCGUAAAGCUCUGUUGUUAGGGAAGAACAAGUACCGGAGUAACUGCCGGUGCCUUGACGGUACCUAACCAGAAAGCCACGGCUAACUACGUGCCAGCAGCCGCGGUAAUACGUAGGUGGCAAGCGUUGUCCGGAAUUAUUGGGCGUAAAGCGCGCGCAGGCGGUCCUUUAAGUCUGAUGUGAAAGCCCACGGCUCAACCGUGGAGGGUCAUUGGAAACUGGGGGACUUGAGUGCAGAAGAGGAAAGCGGAAUU
rnacentral:rRNA from 1 species